rnacentral:rRNA from 1 species
UGGGGAGUACGGUCGCAAGAUUAAAACUCAAAGGAAUUGACGGGGGCCCGCACAAGCAGCGGAGCAUGUGGUUUAAUUCGAAGCAACGCGAAGAACCUUACCUAGACUUGACAUCUCCUGAAUUACUCUUAAUCGAGGAAGUCGCUUCGGCGACAGGAAGACAGGUGGUGCAUGGUUGUCGUCAGCUCGUGUCGUGAGAUGUUGGGUUAAGUCCCGCAACGAGCGCAACCCUUAUUGUUAGUUGCUACCAUUUAGUUGAGCACUCUAGCGAGACUGCCGUGGUUAACGCGGAGGAAGGUGGGGAUGACGUCAAAUCAUCAUGCCCCUUAUGUCUAGGGCUACACACGUGCUACAAUGGCUGGUACAAAGAGAUGCAAUACCGCGAGGUGGAGCUAAACUAUAAAACCAGUCUCAGUUCGGAUUGUAGGCUGAAACUCGCCUACAUGAAGCUGGAGUUGCUAGUAAUCGCGAAUCAGAAUGUCGCGGUGAAUACGUUCCCGGGCCUUGUACACACCGCCCGUCACACCAUGAGAGUUGGCAAUACCCAAAGUUCGUGAGCUAACCCGUAAGGGAGGCAGCGACCUAAGGUAGGGUCAGCGAUUGGGGUGAAGUCGUAACAAGGUAGCCGUAGGAGAACCUGCGGCUGGAUCACCUCCUUUCUA